CUUCCUCGACUCCUCCACCUCUAUGCUGACGAAUGUUGGCCACUGGCACAAAGAUAGGUUGGCCAUCCAGUUAUCCCUAAUGAUGUCCACGGACUAUUCGUCACUUAUCCACCAAGUGAUCAAAGCCAAAACUUAUGGGGUGUGAGAACGGAUCUCCUUCUACAUGAAGGAGCAGUGUCGAGUGACAUGAAUGUCCUCCCCGAUGGUCUAAGCACCAUAUCUCAUUCGCAUCAUGAUGCUCUAGAUACUGGCAAGCUGAAGAAGGAACCU
rnacentral:lncRNA from 1 species